AUGGUCUGUAGGCUGCGCCGCUCCCUCUAUGGUCUCAAACAGGCCCCUCGCGCCUGGUUUGAGCGCUUCGCCUCUGUGGUGACUGCCGCUGGUUUCUUGCCUAGUGAUCAUGAUCCGGCAUUGUUUGUUCACAUGUCUCCUCGUGGUCGGACUCUUCUCCUUCUCUAUGUUGAUGAUAUGAUCAUCACUGGUGACGACUCUGAUUACAUUGCCUUUGUUAAGGCUUGCCUUCGCGACCAGUUUCUCAUGACUGAUCUUGGUCCACUUUGUUAUUUUCUUGGGAUUGAGAUCUCCUCCACCUCUGAUGGCUUCUACAUCUCCCAAGAAAAACAUAUUCAGAAUCUUCUUGCUCGCGCUGCUCUCGGUGAUGAGCGCACAGUUGUGACUCCCAUGGAGCUCAACGUUCAGCUUCGUGCAUCUGAUGGUGACCCUCUUCCUAAUCCCACUCGCUAUCGUCACCUUGUCGGCAGUCUUGUCUACCUUGUUGUUACGCGUCCUGACAUUUCCUAUCAUGUCCACAUUCUGAGUCAGUUCAUUUCAGCCCCCACCUCUGUCCACUAUAGUCAUCUCCUCUGUGUCCUACGAUAUCUUCGUGGCAUGAUCUCUCAACGCCUUUUCUUUCCUUGCUCUAGCUCUCUUGAGCUCCAUGCCUACUUUGAUGCUACCUGGGCUAGUGAUCCCUCUGAUCGACGGUCGCUGUCUGCUUAUUGUGUCUUUCUUGGUGGCUCUCUUAUUGGCUGGAAGACAAAGAAACAGAAUGCGGUUUCUCGCUCGAGUACAGAGGCUGAGUUGUGA
rnacentral:rRNA from 1 species